AGUGAGGAGGGCGGGGUGCGCGAGUGAGGAGGGCGGGGUGCGCGAGCGAGGGCGUCCGGCCGGCAGGUGGCACUGUGGCGUCGCCGUGGGCCGAGCCUGGCGAAGCGCUGCUCGCCCGAGAUCGCGCAGCUUGAUCAAAUGAAAAGACGAGAAAACAGCUUCUAUCACCAUGACAGCCACCUGGACACACCUAUCUCUGUUGGCAAGGGGGAGCAUUUGGAAAAUGGAAGUGCUUGGUCCCCAACAGAUGCCUACUUGACACUUGCUGAUGGACAGCUUGUCAAUUUCAUCUAACAAACCGGAAUCACUGGGGCCAUCCAGGAAUCACAGCAGCUCAUGAAGAAAUUCCACAUGAACAGGGCUGUUAAAAGCCAACCCGCCAGAAAGGGUAGAACGGAGGAAGGACAAGAGGGUUCUAACACCUCCUGGAGGCAGAGCACCCACGGAAGUUUCUCAACACUUCUCGUUGAUUCAAGUGGAACACCUUGAAGAGAGGCCCUUCUGUUUCCCUACACGGUGGACAGCAGAGCUCUGAAAAUUAGAUGCUUCCCCAAA
rnacentral:lncRNA from 1 species